CCACUUACACUGAAGCUCCAUAUUUAGGAUAGGUGCAAGUUUUGGUGCCGGCUGGGCACAGUGGUUCACACCUGUAAUCCUGGCACUUUGGGAGGCUGAGGUGCCGGCCGGGCACAGUGGUUCACACCUGUAAUCCUGGCACUUUGGGAGGCUGAGGUGGGCGGAUCACCUGAGGUCAGGAAUUCGAGACCAGCCUGGUC
rnacentral:lncRNA from 1 species